GGUGAAAUGGCUGAGAUUUAGGCGAUAGAUUGUAAAUUUAUAAACGGGGGUUAGUCCCUCUUUUACC
rnacentral:tRNA from 1 species